UGAGGAAUAUUGGUCAAUGGGCGCAAGCCUGAACCAGCCAUCCCGCGUGCAGGAAGACGGCGCUAUGCGUUGUAAACUGCUUUUCUGAAGGAAGAAUAAUCGCUACGUGUAGUGAGACGACGGUACUUCAGGAAUAAGCAUCGGCUAACUCCGUGCCAGCAGCCGCGGUAAUACGGAGGAUGCAAGCGUUAUCCGGAUUCAUUGGGUUUAAAGGGUGCGUAGGCGGACUGAUAAGUCAGUGGUGAAAUCUCCCGGCUCAACCGGGAAACUGCCAUUGAUACUGUCAGCCUUGAGUUCGGUUGAGGUAGGCGGAAUGUGUAAUGUAGCGGUGAAAUGCUUAGAUAUUACACAGAACACCAAUUGCGUAGGCAGCUUACUGGACCGACACUGACGCUGAGGCACGAAAGCGUGGGGAGCAAACAGGAUUAGAUACCCUGGUAGUCCACGCCGUAAACUAUGAUUACUCGUUGUUGGCGAUACACAGUCAGCGACCAAGCGAAAGCGAUAAGUAAUCCACCUGGGGAGUACGCUCGCAAGAGUG
rnacentral:rRNA from 1 species